rnacentral:lncRNA from 1 species
GAUUGAACUCAAACUAAGGAGGGCGAUUAUUCUUAUGAACCAAAUAACGAAACUGAUCAUGUGAUAAUUGAAGUUGCAACUCAUCCCGGAGAAUAUGUACCAACAAAGGGGCACAAUCUCUCCUUUUAACCAAAUAUCACAUAGAAACUCCAAAAAGCAAAAACUUAUUCUCAAAAUCUUCAUUUGGUUGUACAUAAUGAGGAACACAAGGAACUACCAUUGCAAAUUGGCAUGUAGAGAAAAGAUUGCUACAUUGAAGGCUCGAAUGGACCUCAAUAAGGAAACAAUUCUUCUAUAUUAAAAAUGUAACUCUUAUUGAAGUGUAAUGGCCAGUCAAAUAAAAAAUCUUUAUAUGGAUAUUCCAAAACUCUUUUCUCAGCAUGUUUAGGAGACUGAGAUAAUGAGACACCUAACAAAGAAUAAUAAUAACUAGGGUAUCAUAACUUUUGCUGCACAUCGAAAGCAAGUUCAGAAAUUUCUUGAUUAAAAAUAAUUUGCCUUUUUAUCAUAGCAUGAAAUUUAAGAACAUUGAUAGGCUUUGCUAUUGGGUUGUGUGAGAUGUGGGUUUAUUAGGUAAAUGUUAGGUAUAUGUAUUGGUUAUUAGAUGGAAAUGUAUGGGAUCGAUUUAGUGGGCUAAAUUUGUGAACUGGAGGUGUUGAACAACACAGUAAGUAAUAUGGGUUUGCGUGGGCUUGGAAUGUAUGUGUUGGGUGAAAUUGUUGGGAUGUAGGGUUUGGGUUAUAGGUUAAAAUUGAAAAGUAGUGACAUAGUAGAAAUAUGAACAAUAUUGAACAGCAUAAUAAUAUUUUUUUCUUGAAGCUGAUGAGAAAUCUAAAAAUGAAUUUUCAAUUUUUGGCAGUGAACAGUACCUCAAACAGUAACUACUUUCCCCCUUUUUUUUUUGGUUUGGUGGGGGUAAAAUGGUGGUAUGUUGUGUUGGAUGAAAUGUAUAUGGUUUGAACGGGAGGUGGGUUGUAUGGGUGAAGGUGGAUACCGCUAGUUUCUUGUGGAGAUUGGAUUUGUUGGUCAAAGGAAACAAUUUGAGCUCUGAUACCAAAUUGACGUUGGAUGCAAGGGGAAAAUUAUAAGAGAAGAGAAAGGAGGAUAAGGAGAGAAGAAAGGAGGGCAAGAUGAAAUCAACUUUCAUUCAUAUAAUUAGGUCGUUCUAUUACAG